GCUUCUUGCCUUGGAGGCAGUCUGCUCUGAGGGAGAGGGCGCUCCCCGAAGUCCUGACCGGCUUUGUGGGGAGCAGUUCCAGAGCAUCGCCCAGGGACUCUGUGACA